CCCAGUUCUGCAAAUGUGCAGGGGUUUAAGUGUUCUGCAAAACCCUUGUACAUUUGUUCGGUUGAAGGGUUUGGGUCCAGAUCAAUUGGUUCCAAGUCCAGUAGCGUUUGCAGGGCUUAUGAGGCGGAACGAUCGCAGCCUUUGGACCUCAACAUUGAACUUUCGGACCAGGAGGCGCGAUCGGAGGCUGCCCAGAAGCUUAAGAUUGGUAUUUAUUUUGCGACUUGGUGGGCUCUGAAUGUGGUGUUCAAUAUAUACAACAAGAAGGUUUUGAACGCUUUUCCUUAUCCUUGGCUCACCUCAACUCUGUCGCUCGCAACUGGGUCGCUGAUGAUGUUGAUCUCCUGGGCUGUGAGGAUCGCUGAACCGCCCAAGACCGAUUUGGACUUCUGGAAAAC
rnacentral:lncRNA from 1 species